CACUCCUGCGGGAGGCAGCAGUGGGGAAUUUUGGACAAUGGGCGAAAGCCUGAUCCAGCCAUGCCGCGUGCAGGAUGAAGGCCUUCGGGUUGUAAACUGCUUUUGUACGGAACGAAACGGCCUUUUCUAAUAAAGAGGGCUAAUGACGGUACCGUAAGAAUAAGCACCGGCUAACUACGUGCCAGCAGCCGCGGUAAUACGUAGGGUGCAAGCGUUAAUCGGAAUUACUGGGCGUAAAGCGUGCGCAGGCGGUUAUGUAAGACAGUUGUGAAAUCCCCGGGCUCAACCUGGGAACUGCAUCUGUGACUGCAUAGCUAGAGUACGGUAGAGGGGGAUGGAAUUCCGCGUGUAGCAGUGAAAUGCGUAGAUAUGCGGAGGAACACCGAUGGCGAAGGCAAUCCCCUGGACCUGUACUGACGCUCAUGCACGAAAGCGUGGGGAGCAAACAGGAGUAGAUACCCGUGUAGUCCCAUGA
rnacentral:rRNA from 1 species